rnacentral:rRNA from 1 species
AUGUAACGGGGCUAAGCCAGUUACCGAAGCUGCGGAUGCAUCGCAAGAUGCGUGGUAGGAGAGCGUUCUGUAAGCCUGUGAAGGUGGGUUGUGAAGCCUGCUGGAGGUAUCAGAAGUGCGAAUGCUGACAUGAGUAGCGUUAAAGGGGGUGAAAAGCCCCCUCGCCGAAAGCGCAAGGUUUCCUACGCAACGUUCAUCGGCGUAGGGUGAGUCGGCCCCUAAGGCGAGGCAGAGAUGCGUAGCUGAUGGGAAACAGGUCAAUAUUCC